UACAGAUAUAUUACCUUCCCGCAGACACGUAUCUGUCCGCGUAAUCAGUAGGAAAUGGGAGAUCCUCAGCAUCACCCUCAAUUAUUUUGCAUUCCUUCAAAGGUUCUUUUUGCUUGGCCUUGGCAAGUUGGUGAGGUGACUGAUCAAGAAUUGUGACAUUCUUAGCAUCAACAUGCUUCACUAUACCAAGAGUCGUGAACCCGGUGAGGUGACUGAUCAAGAAUUGUGACAUUCUUAGCAUCAACAUGCUUCACUAUACCAAGAGUCGUGAACCCGGUUCCGCCACCGACAUCGACUACCGUCAUAUUCCUACUAUAAAGAUCGGCAGGCUCGAGCCCUUCAUCUCGCAUAUCCUCG
rnacentral:lncRNA from 1 species